UAAGCAUAUCAUUAAGCGGAGGAGAAGAAAACAACCGUGAUGCCCCUAGUAAUGGCGAAUGAAGCGGGCAGAGCUCACGCCGCCAAUCUGGAGGCCCUUUGCGGCCCCCCGAAUUGUAGUCUAGAAAGGCGCCAUCGGCCGCGUCCGUCGCUCAAAUCCCUUGGAACAGGGUAUCGGAGAAGGUGAGAGUCCUGUACCGUGUCGGAUCGCGGCCGCACGAUGCGUUUUUGCAGAGUCGGGUUGCUUGGGAUUGCAGCUUGAAUUGGGUGGUAAAUUCCAUCUAAAGCUAAAUACUGGUUCAUGACCGAUAGCGAACAAGUACCGUGAGGGAAAGAUGCAAAGAACUUUGAAAAGAGAGUUAAAGAGUGCUUGAAAUCGGCAAGAGGAAACCCGUUUGUGCCCGGUUUCGCGACGUCAAUUCAGCCGUGUCCAUCGGUGCACUUUGUCGUCGCGGGUCAUCCGCGCUUUCGAGUUCGCCAUACCCGCCUGGGGGGCUUCGGUGAGCCAGGUCUUCGGCGCGCUUGAGAGUCCGGCUGACGGAACGGGCACAACCGACCCGUCUUGA
rnacentral:rRNA from 1 species